CACGUAGGGGGCUAGCGUUGUCCGGAAUCAUUGGGCGUAAAGCGCGUGUAGGCGGCCCGGUAAGUCCGCUGUGAAAGUCGGGGGCUCAACCCUCGGAUGCCGGUGGAUACUGUCGGGCUCGAGUACGGAAGAGGCGAGUGGAAUUCCUGGUGUAGCGGUGAAAUGCGCAGAUAUCAGGAGGAACACCAAUUGCGAAGGCAGCUCGCUGGGACGUUACUGACGCUGAGACGCGAAAGCGUGGGGAGCAAACAGG
rnacentral:rRNA from 1 species